AUGUAGCGCAAUACAUAGCGUGUUGGUCUUCCCAUCCAAAAUCGUGGGUUCGAAUCCGACCGGGGAUG